rnacentral:rRNA from 1 species
UACGUAGGGGGCUAGCGUUGUCCGGAAUCAUUGGGCGUAAAGAGCGUGUAGGCGGCCCGGUAAGUCCGCUGUGAAAGUCGGGGGCUCAACCCUCGAAUGCCGGUGGAUACUGUCGGGCUAGAGUGCGGAAGAGGCGAGUGGAAUUCCUGGUGUAGCGGUGGAAUGCGCAGAUAUCAGGAGGAACACCGAUGGCGAAGGCAGCUCGCUGGGACGGUGCUGACGCUGAGGCGCGAAAGCGUGGGGAGCGAACAGG